rnacentral:rRNA from 1 species
GGUUAAGCGACUAAGCGUACACGGUGGAUGCCCUGGCAGUCAGAGGCGAUGAAGGACGUGCUAAUCUGCGAAAAGCGCCGGCGAGGUGAUAUGAACCUUUGACCCGGCGAUGUCCGAAUGGGGAAACCCAGUGUGUUCCGACACACUAUCGUUAACUGAAUACAUAGGUUAACGAGGCGAACCGGGGGAACUGAAACAUCUAAGUACCCCGAGGAAAAGAAAUCAACCGAGAUUCCCCCAGUAGCGGCGAGCGAACGGGGAGCAGCCCAGAGUCUGAAUCAGCUUGUGUGUUAGUGGAACGGUCUGGAAAGUCCGACGGUACAGGGUGAUAGUCCCGUACACGAAAACACACAGGUUGUGAACUCGAAGAGUAGGGCGGGACACGUGGUAUCCUGUCUGAAUAUGGGGGGACCAUCCUCCAAGGCUAAAUACUCCUGACUGACCGAUAGUGAACCAGUACCGUGAGGGAAAGGCGA